rnacentral:rRNA from 1 species
UUUCUCCUAAGGCUAAAUAACGGCGAGAGACCGAGUUCAUUCGUAGCGAACAAGUACCGUGAGGGAAAGAUGAAAAGUACUUUGAAAAGAGAGUUAAACAGUACGUGAAAUUGUUGAAAGGGAAACGAUUGAAGCCAGUCGUACCAGCGGAUAAUCAGCCUUUAGAUGCGAUUUUAUGGAGCGUGAGGAGCUAAUCGCCUUCAUGUCUGUAUAUUCGUGUACUUUGGGUGUACUUAUUCGUGUGGUAAGUUAACAUCAAUUUUGGUUGUCAUAAAAUGAUUGGAGGAAUGUAGCUUCGAUCUUGCCGUAUUGAAGUAUUAUAGCCUUUGGUAGAUGUGAUGAUCGGGAUUGAGGAUUGCAACGGAUACCCUUCGGGGCUACCUGUCUGAUCUCUGAUUGUUGCUCUGGUGCUGAAAGCUUGCUUAUGGUUAUCAAAGUCGAUGGUCAAUAGGUUAGAAUGGGUUAAAUUCGUUAAGGAUGUUGACGUAAUGGCUUUAAACGACCCGUCUUGAAA